UACGAACCGUCCAAACGUUAUUCGGAAUUACUGGGCUUAAAGAGUUCGUAGGCGGCUGGAAAAGUUGGGUGUGAAAGCCCUCGGCUCAACCGAGGAAUUGCGCUCAAAACUGUUUGGCUAGAGGGAGAUAGAGGUGAGCAGAACUGAUGGUGGAGCGGUGAAAUGCGUUGAUAUCAUCAGGAAUACCGGAGGCGAAGGCGGCUCACUGGGUCUCUUCUGACGCUGAGGAACGAAAGCUAGGGGAGCAAACGGG
rnacentral:rRNA from 1 species